ACGGUCAUACCAUGCUGAAUAACCGGUUCUCGUUAGAUCACCGAAGUCAAGCAUCAUUUCAGUACUUGGGUGGGUGACCACAUGGGAACACCGCGUACCGUCG